GACGGAGGAUGCAAGUGUUAUCCGGAAUCACUGGGCGUAAAGCGUCUGUAGGUGGUCAAAUAAGUCAACUGUUAAAUCUUGAGGCUCAACCUCAAAAUCGCAGUCGAAACUAUUCGACUAGAGUAUAGUAGAGGUAAAGGGAAUUUCCAGUGGAGCGGUGAAAUGCGUAGAGAUUGGAAAGAACACCGAUGGCGAAGGCACUUUACUGGGCUAUUACUAACACUGAGAGACGAAAGCUAGGGUAGCAAAUGGG
rnacentral:rRNA from 1 species